rfam:Chelonia mydas contig266809, whole genome shotgun sequence.
GCCUGGCUAGCUCAGUUGGUAGAAAAACAAGCUUUUAAUCUGAGUGUCCAGGGUUUACGUCCCUGGUCAGGCA